rnacentral:rRNA from 1 species
AGCGAACGCUGGCGGCAGGCCUAACACAUGCAAGUCGAACGAACUCUUCGGAGUUAGUGGCGGACGGGUGAGUAACACGUGGGAACGUGCCUUUAGGUUCGGAAUAACUCAGGGAAACUUGUGCUAAUACCGAAUGUGCCCUUCGGGGGAAAGAUUUAUCGCCUUUAGAGCGGCCCGCGUCUGAUUAGCUAGUUGGUGAGGUAAAGGCUCACCAAGGCGACGAUCAGUAGCUGGUCUGAGAGGAUGAUCAGCCACAUUGGGACUGAGACACGGCCCAAACUCCUACGGGAGGCAGCAGUGGGGAAUCUUGCGCAAUGGGCGAAAGCCUGACGCAGCCAGGCCGCGUGAAUGAUGAAGGUCUUAGGAUUGUAAAAUUCUUUCACCGGGGACGAUAAGGACGGUACCCGGAGAAGAAGCCCCGGCUAACUUCGU